CAUCCAGGACGGAAUAUACUACCGUCAUCCACCAGCCGGCGACGGAGAGCGCCCGUUGAACCCCAAUCAGCGAGAUGGGAGACACCUGGCUGGACAGCCAGGAAGACAUUUUAAAAGGAGCACGAGGACUGACAUUUGGGAGGAACGGGAGCGAGGAAGAAGGAAGCCCUCGGGUCUGCGAGCAACUAGAGGCCCACAGAGGCCCUAGAGACCGUCUAUCUUGGAUAUUUAACUGCAGUUCUGUGAGUAUCCCAACUUAACCAUGAAGAUGAACUGCAAACUGUAAGUCAUUAAUUUCUCAUUACUCUUGGGCACACUGAUGUAUUUUGGCUUCCUGGUGGGUUAACCUGUUACCUGAAGGUUGAUCUGAGUAGUAAGGAUGUUUUAUUGGUUCAUGGGUUACUUAGGUGUUUGGUUUAUGUUGGUUUUAAUGAUUUGUUAAAAUGGUUACAGGCUCCGAGUUAUUGUUGUAAGAUGGAGUAAUGGGUUUGGUUCUGAUAUUUUUAGUCUUCUUUCAUUCUACUCUCCUGAGCUCUGCAUCUUCAUCACAUGAGUGUUGCUCUACUGUGAGGGUGUGGUCUGAGUGAGCAGAGGUGCAUACUGGGAUACAAAGCUGUCUCGAGUCUACAGUUCUGUAGACACGCCCCCUCAGGGGAAACCGAGUGUUUGAGAAACUGUCGUGUCGUCAGUUACAUGGACUGGAAUGUUCUUAAAGAUGGAGACAGGGAUUCAGAAGGAGAAACACCAGGGGGAGAUGAGGGGGCUCCUCAUCUCAACGACUAAAACACAACUUCAGUCUGACGCAGAACCAUGGAACACAUUCAACAGUCCCCUCCAGGCAUCGUGACUCCUCAGGAACAGUUUCAUUUCCAAGAAGGUCUUAUUUGGGGCCAUCCCCAUAUGGAUCCUGCUCCUCAAGAGCCACACCUCUCCACUGGGUGGUCUUCUGAACAGAUGACCUCCUUCCUGUCCUCAGGCUGACUAAAGCUGCACCGUUUGCAUCUGUGAAGGCCCCUCAAUCACUAAACCACUGGACUACAAAGACAUGACUUCAGAGAUGUUGAAUCAACCUGGGACACAUUUUGGAGAUGCCAAGCAUAAUCCAUCACCAAUGUGGGACGCCACUGAAGAAUGCUGUACAUAAUUUACGUCUCUGGAGACAUUGGUUGUUCUGUUCUGGGUGCCCUGGCAGGAGAGCUGGGGGUGGAUGAUGGAAUGUUAUUUGCUAUGAGGUUUUUACCCUGCAUGAUUGUUUGGCCUUUUAUGGCUCAGUGGUGUGUGUGUUUGGGUUUGACAUGAGAUGGAAGAUUUUUUGAGCAUCUCUAGGGUUCUACUGUGUGUGUGUCUCCCACUCACACCAGGCAUGGGGUUCUAUGUGCCUGUCCUGGGUACCAUGUGUGUGUGUCCGGCUUGCUUUGACAGUGAUAACGUUCAUACGAGGGUCUGUGUGAUUGGCUUGGGAUAUUGGAAUGGUCAACUAAAUCAUACCUGAUGGACGGCCACACGUUUACUUAAGGGCCUCCAGUAGACAUGAAGAGCCCUGAGCGAUGCUCCGGAGCGAGAUCCAACACACUGGGCAGGAAGGAGUGUCCAACUCAAGUGUAAAAGGAUGCAAGCGGCGUGUUCAGAUCAGUGACUUCAAACUAGGACUACACCAAUCAGGAUCAAUGGAGGAUGGACACCAAAAGGAAUUCCACAAGGAGAGUCUGACGUUGGAAAGGGACCUCAAUGGAUGUUCAAGAUGACCUUCAGACCUGUAAUGAGAUGGCUCUUCCUACCUGGCUGGAUUGAUGGAGAGCCCUGUGGAUCUUGUCUUGCUCUCAGUUGCACUUCUUCUCAGGCUGAACUGUAAUUGUUUCGGACAGGACUAGCUGAACGAUUGGUUCCCUUAAAUCAGAACCAACCCGGGAACUCCAGCUAGUGCGCUCUUCGAGCUGAAGUUGUGCUCUUCAGUUGAGGCGGUAAGGAAACCUUCACUGGGGCUUCAAGGUGUAAAGAGGAGAAUGUUUCAAAGUGUUCCAUGGUACUCUGAUGAAGACCGUUGUUGUGUUCCACUGGCUGCGAGGAAGAACCUACACAUCUUCCUCUUGGCCUUUCUCCUCUGAGAAUCCUGGCGCCAUCUUGAAGGAUAUUCCAGCUCAUGUAACUGAUGUCACGACAGAUUCUCAAACAUUUAGUUUCUCCUGAGGGGCGUGUCUAUGGAACUGAAGACUUCAGACAGCACUGUAUCCCAGCAUGCAUCUCUGCUCACUCAGACCACACCCCCAUGAGUAGGAUGCAACACUCUAGUGAUGUUAUUUAUAAAUAACGAGGGAGCAGACUAAGGUGAUUGGAACACAAUGGAAUGUCAAGUCUGUACAUUUUUAAGCCAUGAAGAUGGUUGGAUAGUUCAGGAAUUGGGCUUCUUUUUAUUAUGGGCAGUCCUUUCACUCAGAUGCCCACUUCUCACUGGAGCUGUACAUGUGUUGGCUGGCAUGAUUUGCUGUUGGUGAUGAGGCAGUCAGGGUGACGUUGCAGGGCUAUGGUCGGCUCUCUGUGAGCUCAACGUUUAGAUUUGCUCUGUAUGGUUUGUACCCUGAAUAAUCUAGAUAAUUGUAAAAUGUAGACACGGAUUUGUAUUGAAUUAUUCCCGGUUUUUAGGUUUAAAGUUGUUGUGGGACGUACAUGGUAGUUUGGUUCCUCGUAUGGUUUUGAGUGAUAUAACUUGUACACACUGGGUGCAUAAUAAUGUAAAGGUACACUGAAUAGUAUUAAUGACCAACAGCAACAAACAGAUCUCCUCAAGGUAAGUCUGUUGGCUGUAUUUUAAUGAAGACCAUCGCUGGACUUCAGGAUCUUCCUCCGUUCAGCUCAAGGUGAGGCGCUGGUUCUGUUUUUUCUUUGGUUGGUUCCGGCCGGAAUGUUCGUAUUCCAGUCGGACGGUUUGUGCUUCCCGCCGUGGAAGGUUCUGAGUGCGGUCACUUGAUUCAGUCCCAAUGGUUAGCAUAGAACGUUGUAGUCUUGACAACCAUAAGAAACCACCUGGCAGUUAGUUUGACGGGAGUCCCCUGAGGGAAUCUGGCGGAACGUUCUUGAUUGUAUUUGAGUAACCUCGAGCCGUUGCCAACGGAAACAAUUUUUUCAGUCGGUUUCCAUUGGGAAUUGUUGCCCCUAUCUUAAACAACUAAAUUUUGAUAUUAAAUACAUACUGAGACGUACGUCGUACAAUAUGUUGAUAAUUUCCGAUGGUUGCGCCGUACUUUUAACCACGAUGACGUUGCGGGACUCUCUGCGUUCAAAACGGCGUUCUACUUGCGGGCCCAUUUUUGACAUCAGGGAAGGCUGAAAAUCAUUUCAAGGUGGAAGAUAAUUUGACAUUUCUUCAACGGAACCCAGCACCUGAAUAUGGCUGAGUAUAUUUGAUUUAAUAUCGAUACUGCUUAGCGUUCUUUGUUACUUCAGCUUUCGUACGUUCUAAAUAUCUGGUGUCAAUAAUUGCCACAGAAGUUAAACCCUACCCAAUGGAAUGACGUUAAACAACGACUUUGGUGCAGAGUUACCAACUGGAUAAUAUCAAAGCUAAAAUAAUGGCCGUCAUUCCCACAUGUUACAGUAGAAGAUACUCUAGAACUGUACAAGGUUAAAAAGGUAACAUGUAGUUUGUCCCAAGGUGUCUGCCUCCUCACCCAGAGCAAGACCUCCAUCUCCUCACCCAGAGCCAGACCUCCAUCUCCUCACCCAGAGCCAGACCUCCACCUCCUCACCCAGAGCCAUACCUCCACCUCCUCACCCAGAGCCAGACCUCCACCUCCUCACCCAGAGCCAGACCUCCACCUCCUCACCCAGAGCCAGACCUCCACCUCCUCACCCAGAGCCAGACCUCCACCUCCGGUCAGAAGUCCUCCAGAACAGCUGAAAGGCGAGGCUGAGAGGCUGGGGACCGGAGGCUUGUGGUGCCAGGAUGGACCCGAGACUGAGGCUGGAGACCAGGGGCCUGCAGCACCGGACCAGAGGGUAUAUAUACCAGACGACUACAUCUGUUUUACCACAUGUUGAAGCAAGACUUCCGCUGUUUGUUCCAGACCAGGACUCUGUCUGAGGAGAGCUGCUGGAGGAGCUGAGACGCUGGAGGACGACUAGGAAUCGACCAACAACGAUUCCUCAACGUGUUUCUGGAGCGGAGGCGAGCUGGUAGGGGAGCCGUGAAUCUGGAGGAUGACCAUCACUCUACCAACCAGGGUUGUAAGUUUGUAUUAACCAAACAAACUGGAAAUAAAGGGCUUAAAAAUAAGACAAACUACAUGUUUGUUACCAGUCUUUAGGGCCAGACUCGCGCUGUUUGUUCCAGACCAGGACUCUGGCUGAGGAGAGCUGAUGGAGGAGCCAAGACUCUGGAGGACGACAUCACUCCACCAACCAGGAUCCUUACAAAUUACGUUUGUAACCAGACCAGGAAUCUGGAGGACUGAUGGAGAAGCCAUACAUCUGGAAGGCAAAUCCUGAGGACCACCAGGACUCUACCAUCAAGGAUUCCUCAUAAAUGUGCAUUAUCUGGACAUAGUGGACUAGACAAACCUGAGCUGAACCUCACCUGAUCCUGUUUGGUCGGGGGUAGACACACCUGAGCUAAACCCGCCCUGAUCCUGACAUCCUGCUGGUCCUGUCUCCUCAGUUCAUCUGAGCCUCGUCCUCCAGAAGACCUGCUGAGCUCAGCAGUCUGAGGCUGAUGGAUCAAUGACCUCCAGUGGGAGUGUUCUUCUUGACCCCACAUGUAACCGUGUGCUUCCACACGCCUUUCCCUCACGUCUGUCACUAACCUCACUACUUCACUACUCUCUACUGCUUCCUCUUCUUCUUCCUUCUCUGUGGUUCGAACCUUUACACGGAAGGCGCGUCUUCCUGCCCUCAGAGGGUUUAGCGUUAGGGUUGAGAGUCAGGGUUUAGAGUCAGGGACAGAGCUGGUCAGGGAGGACUCCUUUUACACAAACCUCUUCACUUGCUUUCGGAAUGGUGGUGACAUUUUGAAAAGAUUCAUUUGGGAAAAUGUUUUCCUCUGCUUUCCUUUACAAAUUGUAUUAAACUUCUGUCAAGUGUUUUUGUUUAUAUAUUAAAAUCCCACAUU